CCACUUUUCUUUAAGCGCCAAGCGCCUAUAUUGGUCGGUGCAAGGGCUUCGGCCCGGCUAUGGCGAUAAACGACGGCGUAUAAUAGACGCAGCGGACCCGGGGGCAGUACCCGGCGGCUCCACCAUAUGCCCCUGAUAACACAGGGGUUUCUGACGGGGCCGAACCAGGAUCGACGUGUGUUGAAAGGCGCUGACUUUUGCUCGGAAUGGGACCACCGUGACGGCCCGUACACAAGUGCCAACGAUAACGAAGCACUCGCUAUGGCGGCCUAACCCCACGGCCUAACGGCCUAAGGUUAGACUAAAAUGCGCGGUCGGACCCACCGGGCAACAGAAGGGAAUCCAGCGGUUCGGGGAGCACCGGGCAACAGAAGCUCCCCACU
rnacentral:tmRNA from 1 species